rnacentral:rRNA from 1 species
UACGUAGGGUGCAAGCGUUGUCCGGAAUUAUUGGGCGUAAAGAGCUCGUAGGCGGUUUGUCGCGUCUGCUGUGAAAUCUGGGGACUCAACCCCCAGCCUGCAGUGGGUACGGGCAGACUAGAGUGCGGUAGGGGAGAUUGGAAUUCCUGGUGUAGCGGUGGAAUGCGCAGAUAUCAGGAGGAACACCGAUGGCGAAGGCAGAUCUCUGGGCCGUAACUGACGCUGAGGAGCGAAAGCAUGGGGAGCGAACAGG